GACGAACGCUGGCGGCGUGCCUAAUACAUGCAAGUCGAACGCUUCUUUCCUCCCGAGUGCUUGCACUCAAUUGGAAAGAGGAGUGGCGGACGGGUGAGUAACACGUGGGUAACCUACCCAUCAGAGGGGGAUAACACUUGGAAACAGGUGCUAAUAACGCAUAACAGUUUAUGCCGCAUGGCAUAAGAGUGAAAGGCGCUUUCGGGUGUCGCUGAUGGAUGGACCCGCGGUGCAUUAGCUAGUUGGUGAGGUAACGGCUCACCAAGGCCACGAUGCAUAGCCGACCUGAGAGGGUGAUCGGCCACACUGGGACUGAGACACGGCCCAGACUCCUACGGGAGGCAGCAGUAGGGAAUCUUCGGCAAUGGACGAAAGUCUGACCGAGCAACGCCGCGUGAGUGAAGAAGGUUUUCGGAUCGUAAAACUCUGUUGUUAGAGAAGAACAAGGACGUUAGUAACUGAACGUCCCCUGACGGUAUCUAACCAGAAAGCCACGGCUAACUACGUG
rnacentral:rRNA from 1 species